rnacentral:lncRNA from 1 species
AUUAUUAUUUGUGCUUCUCUUCUUCCUCCCACCCUCCACCCUCAAGUAGACCCCAGUGUCUUUCAUUCCCCAAAAGCUAACAUUUUAAACCAGCCCAAAAUAUAAUAAUUUUAAUCUGAAGUGGCAUGUGAUUUCUGUUAAUGAUAAAAAAGAUAACAUUUGAAAAGGAGUCCUUUUGAUAACCCAUGUAUUAAGGACUAAAUGUUUGUACCUUCUCCCACCCCCAGAAUCAUAUGUGAAACCCUAACAACCAAUGUGAAUGUAUUUGGAGAUAGGGUCAUAAGCAGAUGGUAGAGUUUAAAUGAGGUCAUAAGGGUGGAGCCCUAAUCUGAUAGAGCUGUUGCACUUUUCAGAAGAGGAAGAGAUACUGGAACGUGUCUCUGUCUGUGUGCAUUCAGAAAGAAGGCCAUGUGAUACAGUUUGGAUGUUGCCUCCAACCAAAUGUCAUGUCAAAAUGUAAUCUUCAGUAUUGGAGGGGAGGCAUGGUGGGGGGAGAUUGGGUCCCCCCACCCAGUGGAGGCAAGUUUCUCAUGAAUGGUUUAGCACCAUCCCCCUUGGUACUGUCUUCACAAUAGUGAGCUCUCAUGAUAUUUGGUCAUUUAAAAGUGUGUAGCACUUCCCCCUUCACGUUCUCUUGCUCCUGCUCUGGCCAUGUGACAUGCCUAUUCCCUCUUCACCUUCUGGCAUGACUGUUAAGUUUCCUGUGGCCUCCCUGGAAGCUGAGCAGAUUCCAUCAUCAUGCUUCCUGUACAGUCUGCAGAACCAUGAGCCAAUUAAGCCUCUUUUCUUUAUAAAUUACCCAGUCUGAGGUACUUCUUUAUAGCACUGCAAGAAUGGACUAAUACGCUAUGUGAAGACAAAGGGGAUGUCUGCAAGCCAGGACGAGUGCGUCUACCAGAAACUGAGUUCUGCUGGACUUUGAUCUAGGACAUCCAGCCUCCAGAAUGGAAUGUGCCAUAUGUGGAGACCUGCAUGGAAAGGAACUGAGGAUGCUCUCUCACUAAAAGCUAGAAGGAACUGAGGCCCUCAGUCAACAGUCUACAAGACACUGAAUCUUGCCAGCAGCCAAGCAGUGAGCUUGAAAGCAGAUCUAUCAUCAGCUGAACCUUCAGAUGAGACCGCAGCCUAAGCAGAUACCUUGGUUGCAGCCAUGUGAGACAACCUGAAACAGAGGGCACAGCUAAGCCUCAGCCAGGUUCAUGACCCUCUGAGGAAACUGUGAGAAAGCAAAUGUCAUUUUAAGCUAUUUAAUUUUGGAGGUAGUUUAUUACACAACAAUAAAUAACUAUUAUAAUUAUCUUGAGGAUUUAUUUCCUGGGGAGAAUACAUGGAAUUGCAUAUAUAGGUCCUCAUAUGCAGAAUACUGGUACCCUAGAGAUGUUCACCCCAGAGAUGUUUUAGGAACCUGUGAAUAUGUUACAUUAAAUGGCAAAGUUUUCCUGGAUGGUUUAAGUUUAAGAUGGAAAAGUUUUACUGGAUUAUCCAGUGGGUCCAAUCUAGUAACAUGAGUCCUUAAAAAUGGAGAAUAUUUUUUGGCCAUGAUCAGAGAGACAUGUGAUGAUGGAAAAAGUGUCAGAGAUGCAAUGUGAGGGGACUAAAACUGCUGUUGCUGACUUUAAAGAUGGAGAGAGGGGAACCCGAGUCAAGGAAUGCAAAUGGCCUCUGGAAGCUGGAAAAAGCAAGAAAUGGAUUCUCCUUUAGAGCCUGUGGAAUAAAAUGCAGUCAUGCUGACACCUUGAUUUUACCUCAGUGAGACCAAUACUGGAGUAUGACCUUCGGAGCUGAAUAAAAUUAUACGUACACAUCUUAAUUUCUUGGGAUUUGAUUACUUCUUCUGCUUUGAAAUUAGACCAAGUUUAGCCUGCCUUUGCUAUUUUGGCGUAUCUCCAAUUCUUCAUGAUUUUCUCAUGAGUGACCCAAGGCAAACUUACAAAAAGAAGCACAUGGCAUGUGGAAAGAAGAGAAGAUUCAAAAUCAGUAGUCAGGAUUUGAGCCUCUUCUCUUCUGCUUUCUAGCUGAAAAAUGUCGAACAAAGAAUUCAACAUUACUUUUCUGAGCCUCUCUUUCCUCUUCUAUGGAAUGGAAGUAAUAAAAUAUCUACCUCCCAGAGUUGUAGUUCAGACCCAACACAUAUAUUUUUAGUGCUCUAUCAUAUGUUAGUUUCUGAACUUUGCUCUUUCUCAGGAAGCAUCCCACUGAAUUAAAAACAUCUGUUGAGUUAAAUACUAUUGUCUCUUCAAUCAAAUGGAGAAAUUGAGGCUAAUGAAGAUAAAGAGCCUUGUUCCAUUUCAUACAUCUAGAAGUAGAAGAGCUGGUAUUAAAAAUCCUACCUGUUGGACUUUAUAUCAGGUGCUCUUUUCCCAAACUACAGCUGCUUUAUAAAGAAGCAAAUGAUAAUUUUUAAAACAACACAAUAGCAAAGCCAUGGAAUCAACUCAGUUUCCCAUCAACUGUGGAUUGGAUAAAGAAAAUGUGGUACAUGUAUAUCAUGGAAUACUAUGCAGACAUAAAGAAGAACAAAAUCGUGGCUUUUGCAGCAACAUGGAUGCAGCUGGAGGCCAUUACUCUGAGUGAACUAACGCAGAAACAGAAAACCAAAUACCCUUUGUUCUCCCUAAUAAGUGGGAGCAAAACGAUGGUACACGUGGACAUACAGAUGGGAACAGCAGACACUGCGGACAAUUAGAGAGGGGAGAGAGGGAGGAGGGCAAGGGUUGAAAAAUGACACAUUUUAUUACCUGGGUGAUGGAUUCAUUUGUACUCCAAACCUCAACAUCACUCAGUAUACCUUUAUAACAAAUCUACACAUGCACCCUCCGAUUCGAAAAUAGAAGUUGAAAAAAACUGUAUUUUCUCUAAAAAAUUUUGCUUAUGUACUAGUUGGUGCCCUUCAAGUGGGAAAAAUCCAUGCCUGCUGAACUGUCACCUCUUUUUUUUUUGGAGGGCUUCUAUUUUUCAAGUGCCCUGUGUCUUCUUGGGCUUGUUUUUUAUUCUAGACAAAAUGCUUCCACACACUGGGGGCUUUACCUGGCCUGCUCAUGAAGGCAUCAUCUGGGUCCAAACUCCUUAUUGGCUACUUAUCAAAAUGGAUCUUUCUCUGCUCUUCUUUUGCAUUAGAUUCUUGCUAAGAACCUAGAAUUUGCCUGAUAGAUUGACUUACCCUAAAGUUAAAAAGGCUUUUAUUAGCUUAUUUUAUGGCUCUAUAUUGUGUAUUUCCUUUUAAACAGAGGUUCCUUAGAGACUCAAUUCCUUAAUCCAGCAUUUCUUAAGUUUGCUUUUGGGAAGGUUAGUACAAGAAGAUGGUCUCUUUAAAAAUAAUUCUUGAGAAUCACUAUACUGGUUAACAUAUUAAAAGAACCAAGGAGUCCUACAGAUUUUUAAAAAGCCUUUGCUUAUUGAUACUCUUUGGUUUGACUGCCAAUUCUCUUUUUGUGGAUCAUCUGCUAAUAUCUAAUAAAUUUAGCAUGACACAGAACAAAUGUUGAGAAACAGUCAAUAAAAAACUGUCUUUGUGAAAA